AGCGAACGCUGGCGGCAGGCUUAACACAUGCAAGUCGAGCGGGCAUCUUCGGAUGUCAGCGGCAGACGGGUGAGUAACACGUGGGAACGUACCCUUCGGUUCGGAACAACUCUGGGAAACUGGAGCUAAUACCGGAUACGCCCUUAUGGGGAAAGGUUUACUGCCGAAGGAUCGGCCCGCGUCUGAUUAGCUAGUUGGUGGGGUAACGGCCUACCAAGGCGACGAUCAGUAGCUGGUCUGAGAGGAUGAUCAGCCACACUGGGACUGAGACACGGCCCAGACUCCUGCGGGAGGCAGCAGUGGGGAAUAUUGGACAAUGGGCGCAAGCCUGAUCCAGCCAUGCCGCGUGAGUGAUGAAGGCCUUAGGGUUGUAAAGCUCCUUUGUCCGGGACGAUAAUGACGGUACCGGAAGAAUAAGCCCCGGCUAACUUCGUG
rnacentral:rRNA from 1 species